rfam:Dipodomys ordii contig_29843, whole genome shotgun sequence.
GGGAAUGUGGCUUAAUGGUAGAGUGCUUGCCUACCAUGCAUGAAGCCCUGGGUUUGAUUCCUCAGUACCA